CUCAUUUUUCUUCCACUAUUUUGCUCUUAUGGGUUUCUCAUUCUUCAACGCUUCAGGUUUCUCAGUCCGUUCAUAUCUUCCGCUACCUUUUACUUCCCCCUUAACCUAGCAGCGCCGCUGCUCACAUGAGAGAGAUUUGAACUCUACGAUCUGGGGUGGUGCCCAUUUUCUCCUUUCAACCCAUUUUCUUCUAUGCCUUCCUUUCGAAGUUCUCGAAUUUUCAUCAAGACUUCAUUCACGUUUUUCUUUAUUAGAACAUAAAGAUAAAGGGAUUGACGAUAAGGGCUUUCAUUACUGUCCAUCCAAUUUCUAUUCAUUGUAUACUUCCUCCCUGUGCCUCUUUCUUUUAUUGUUUCUAAUCUUCUUUGGUAUGAAACUGUUUCAGGUCCAUUUUGUUCGUGCUUUGAGUAGAAGGGGAUGCUGCCUUCAAAUAUCAAAGAAACAUCCAAAGAAUCAAGGCGCAGAGAUGUGAGCAUUUCCUAUUUACAUGUGUGUGUUCCCCCUUUGCUAUUGCAGAAUUCUGGGCGUAUGGGAUCCAGGUAAGCACUACUCCUAACAGAAUUAUUAAUUUCAUGUAAAUGUUCCAUAUAAAUUUGAUAAAUGAUAACAAGGUGUUAUUUACAUAUGCAUACCCCUGUGUCAUGUGGUUAGCAAUCAGGCCAACACUCUUGGAAUGAUUUUGUGUUUUUACAGUUGAGUUUUUUAUUUGAGUUUUUAGUUUUUUUCUUUUUUUUUAUAAUUUUGGACAUGAGAAGGUUAGGGUCUGUGGCUAAGUUGUGUUACAUUGCAUCUUGAUGUUCAUUCGAGAGAACUGGUGAAGGGGCAGGGGCUUAGUGAGCGUGGGGAAAUUAUUCUCUUCUAUAAGGCUGAACCUAAAACAGAUGAAGUAUAUGAUCAGACAACUUUGCUUCCUGAAGCAGAUGUGAGUGUGCUCUGACUUCUGCCAUUGGAUUGAUUGGCACAUCGAUUGAGGAACUACACCCGAGAGCUAAGAAUCAGAGUAAAAGAAUAUUGUUUCUGCAACCACAACUUUUCUUUUUGCAGAUAUUAUGUCUGCAAUUGAUCUCAUCCCUUUGUUGCUUCAAUAUUCUAUAAAUGCUUCUCCUGGAUGUUCCCGGUUGCAUUGUUUUGGAUUCUCUUUGAUUCUACAUGCUUGGAUGAUCAAGUAGCCAAUUAAGUGUGAUUCAAGUGUAUCAUCUUAUCCGAACUAAAGGCAGAUGUUCUCAGGAACGAAAAAAGUAGGAGUAACGAAGAAGAUAAAUGAGAAUGUAUAUGAGAAUUCUUACUGAAUGUACAAGUUGUUGCAUUGUUGUCUCCCACCAAGGUAUGAAUCAUCCGUCUUUUUACUUUUUUCACCUUUGUUAUUUCUUUCCUCUUUCACUCCCAUUCCAUGUUAUGUUUUUUUUUGCCUUCUUUGAAGUUUUAUUUUUCAGCCUAUGCAUUCCCAAGACUAUUCACAAGUACAAUGCUUAUAAGGAUGUUGGUCUUUCUACUUACUGAUUAUAUGAAUUAGAAUUAUGUGAGCAGAGAGAGAAGGCUGGGACAGAAAAAUGCUAAAAUGAGUUAUUUUAGAUUGCAAGAACGUCAAUCUUUCCAGAACAAGAAAGUAAAGUUCUCAGCCAGCAGAGGCAGCAUCAAAGUGAAGGACAAGAAAGUAGUGGACAGAAAGAUUCAUAUGCUAAUCAACCUCUGAUCAAUUGUAUCAAGUGAAAUGCAUUUAGAAACUGUACAGGUUAUUGUUGUUGAUUCUCAAGAGGAUGAUAGUACGGAUAAUUGAAGCGCAUAAGCUUUGUUGAGUUCAACACUACAGGUUUUGGUUAAAAUCUGAUGGCUAGAAUGGUAUAUGUGGAGGGAGAAGGGUUAUGGAAAAAUUGUCAAGGCAUGGCACUGCCCAUUAAGGUUAUCCAAAGGCCUAAGUCACUUGAUUUAGGAGUGCAAUUCUCUAGCAGCCCUGAUGAGCCAGCCACUGAGGGAGCUGUGAUCAAGUCUUCAAGAAUUGGUGCUUUGGAAAACAUACCAAAGAAUUUGGAUCGAAGAUGAUGGCUAAGACAGUAGGUAGAGAAUCAUAAUGUAAUUACACCAUUGAGUGUUGUUAGGCUACCGAAGUCAUGACUCAUGAGGACUAGGCUCCAAAAGUUAAUUUAGAUUUCUUUAUUUUUUGCUCCUUUCUAAUUGUAUAUUGGCCUAAGAUUAUGAUUCACCUUUGUAGUUUAGCUUUAGCACGCAUUUUCUAACAAUGGAAUUCACUAUGUUAAAAUGUUA